CACGUGGGGGUGCUGUUCUGUCUUGUUGAUGGAGCAUUGAGCGACGAGAAGAAGACUGACGUACCGGCUUUAAAAAAAAGGCGCGGGCGCGGAUCAGAGACGGGUGACUAGUUGUUGAUGCAAUGACACCGAUGGAAGAACUUUUAAAACAUAUUAGGCGUUCAAAUACACACAAGAGCUGAAGGAAAAUUGUGAAAUGGACGCAGAAACGUGGUAUCCUGACGACGACGAUGAAGUGCGCAAAAUGCAACCGUCGCAUGCGUCUGGUGAAAUGCCAUGUCAAGGAUGGGCUGUGGUGGGUCUGUAAGCAUCAUAAAAGUUUCCCAAAGUCUGUACGUAAUGGCUCAAUAUUCACCAAGUCUCACAUCCCUCUGGCUUGAGUUCAUGCACAGAUUUGCCCAAGGUUUGCAGUUGAAGCAACUUGCACAAGGUUGUCACAUUACAUACCAGACUAGUCUCUAACUUUAAUUAGGUAUAAAACAGGUACAUAAGUCACCACUCUAAUCAAUUGGAUUCUACAUUGCUGCAGAAUUAUUUGGUACACUCAGUGACACAUGCAAUGCAACUUCCUAAACGUUAGCAUACAUAUUAGUCAAAUUCCAUACUAAGGCAUAGUUAUACCUCAAGAUGCUUAUAUUUUAUUUUCCCAUUUGAAGGUGUGCAUUGCUGCUGUCAAGCGACUGAGGAAAAGAUGAGGAUUGGUGGUCGUCAUCGAUUUGUUGUUAUUGACAAGAGCAAAUUUGCCCACAAACGAAAGGUGGGCUGUAUAUUUGUAUGAAUCUGCACUAUAUUUAGAUCAAGAUUUCAUGAUGAGUAAUAUUUUAUGGGUAAAAUAAAAUGGGUUUUAUGGGUACCCUGGGUACACACACGAUACAGGUGUGACGGGGUGCCUCCUCUUUUCCGCUUCCCUUCUUGGUCUUAAUGCGUACAGGAAAACACACACUUGACAAACUCGGGCUGUUGAUCUGGUUUUAGUGUCAGUGAAGCUUGAAAACCUUUCAAGGUUCCUAAAUUUUCUCUGAACAUGUUUUCGUGGCGAUUUAGAAGGUUCUUCAGAGUCUCCUUGUCCUUGUGCAAUAUUUCCACCGUCUUGAUUUCACGCCAGUCCGGCCUUAUGUUCCGUAGCCAUUCACGACCAGACAGUGGUGGUGUUUCCCUUUCACCACAUAUAAGGGCAAUCAAAUUUCUGUUUAUUCAAUUUCACCGAUACUUUCAACAUUCCCUCGGGAAGCAGCAACUCUCCUGUGUGUGUUUUCAACACUACAUCAGUCUGGCG
ensembl:lncRNA